AAAAGUGCAAUUUCAAAAUUUGAACAGCAUAAAUUGUGAAGUGAAAUAGAAAUCAAAUAAAUGCUAAUGAGUAGAAAUAUUUUAUAUUAUAGAUCAAGAAUCCAAAGAAGAACGAGGAAAAGAAAAAGUUGCGGAAUAGUCCCUAAAUUUCAAUAUCUUCUACAAAUUAGCCGGAUUGACUUGAAGUGAAGUGGGUAGAUCGGAUCAACACAACAAAGCACACUAUCCAGAUCAAUUCCGGUAGCUUUUGUUUUAUGUUUGAAGAUUUAUAUGGCAUGUAUAGAGUUUAAAUGAAAUAAAGUAAAGAUGUUAUAAACUAGUUAACAACAUUUUGUACUAAAACAGUUUUUGGUUAGUAGCAGUAGUUUGAGUUUGAAAAUUUACCAUAAAUCAUGAAAAUAUAAUUAGAGGUUGAAUAAAAUAUGAAAUUAAAUCUUAUUGAAUCUAGUUUCACAUAGAAGAAACGGUGUAAGGAAAAGGCUUUCAUAUCAGGAGAUAUUUGAAUUUCUGUGAGACAA